AGUGGCGGACGGGUGAGUAACGCGUGAGAAUCUGCCUUGGGGUCGGGGACAACCACUGGAAACGGUGGCUAAUACCGGAUAAGCCGAUUGGUGAAAGAUUUAUUGCCCGAAGAGGAGCUCGCGUCUGAUUAGCUAGUUGGUGAGGUAAGAGCUCACCAAGGCAGCGAUCAGUAGCUGGUCUGAGAGGACGAUCAGCCACACUGGGACUGAGACACGGCCCAGACUCCUACGGGGGGCAGCAGUGGGGAAUUUUCCGCAAUGGGCGAAAGCCUGACGGAGCAAGACCGCGUGAGGGAGGAAGGCUCUUGGGUUGUAAACCUCUUUUCUCAGGGAAGAAGCUCUGACGGUACCUGAGGAAUCAGCCUCGGCUAACUCCGUGCCAGCAGCCGCGGUAAUACGGAGGAGGCAAGCGUUAUCCGGAAUUAUUGGGCGUAAAGCGUCCGCAGGUGGCGAUUCAAGUCUGCUGUCAAAGCACGGGGCUUAACUCCGUAAAGGCAGUGGAAACUGAAUAGCUAGAGUGCCGUAGGGGUAGAGGGAAUUCCCGGUGUAGCGGUGAAAUGCGUAGAGAUCGGGAAGAACAUCGGUGGCGAAAGCGCUCUACUGGACGGCAACUGACACUCAGGGACGAAAGCUAGGGGAGCGAAUGGGAUUAGAUACCCC
rnacentral:rRNA from 1 species